rnacentral:rRNA from 1 species
GAUGAACGCUAGCGGCAGGCUUAAUACAUGCAAGUCGAGGGACAGCACAGGUAGCAAUACUGGGUGGUAACCGGCAAACGGGUGCGGAACACGUACACAACCUUCCUUUAAGUGGGGGAUAGCCCAGAGAAAUUUGGAUUAAUACCCCGUAAUAUAGUUGAAUGGCAUCAUUUGAUUAUUAUAGCUACGGCGCUUAAUGAUGGGUGUGCGGCUGAUUAGAUAGUUGGCGGGGUAACGGCCCACCAAGUCUACGAUCAGUAGCUGAUGUGAGAGCAAGAUCACCCACACGGGCAAUGAGACACGGGCCCGACUCCUACGUGAGGCAGCAGUAAGGAAUAUUGGUCAAUGGACGCAAGUCUGAACCAGCCAUGCCGCGUGAAGGAUUAAGGUCCUCUGGAUUGUAAACUUCUUUUAUUUGGGACGAAAAAGGGCCUUUCUAGGUCAACUGACGGUACCAGAUGAAUAAGCACCGGCUAACUCCGUGCCAGCCGCCGCAGUAAAAC